AUUGAACGCUGGCGGCAUGCCUUACACAUGCAAGUCGAACGGCAGCACGGGAGCAAUCCUGGUGGCGAGUGGCGAACGGGUGAGUAAUAUAUCGGAACGUGCCCAGUCGUGGGGGAUAACGCAGCGAAAGCUGUGCUAAUACCGCAUACGAUCUAAGGAUGAAAGCGGGGGAUCGCAAGACCUCGCGCGAUUGGAGCGGCCGAUAUCAGAUUAGCUAGUUGGUGGGGUAAAGGCCCACCAAGGCGACGAUCUGUAGCUGGUCUGAGAGGACGACCAGCCACACUGGAACUGUGACACGGUCCAGACUCCUGCGGGAGUCAGCAGUGGGGAAUUUUGGACAAUGGGCGCAAGCCUGAUCCAGCAGUGCCGCGUGCAGGAUGAAGGCCUUCGGGUUGUAAACUGCUUUUGUACGGAACGAAACGGCCCUUUCUAAUACAGGGGGCUAAUGACGGUACCGUAAGAAUAAGCACCGGCUAACUACGUGCCAGCCGCCGCCGUAA
rnacentral:rRNA from 1 species